rnacentral:rRNA from 1 species
CCAGACUCCUACGGGAGGCAGCAGUGGGGAAUAUUGGGCAAUGGGCGCAAGCCUGACCCAGCAAUGCCGCGUGAAGGAAGAAGGCCCUCGGGUUGUAAACUUCUUUUAUCAGGGACGAAGGAUGUGACGGUACCUGAUGAAUAAGCUCCGGCUAACUACGUGCCAGCAGCCGCGGUAAUACGUAGGGAGCAAGCGUUAUCCGGAUUUACUGGGUGUAAAGGGCGCGUAGGCGGGAUGGCAAGUCAGAUGUGACAUCCAGGGGCUCAACCCCUGAACUGCAUUUGAAACUGUCGUUCUUGAGUACUGGAGAGGUUGACAGAAUUCCUAGUGUAGCGGUGAAAUGCGUAGAUAUUAGGAGGAACACCAGUGGCGAAGGCGGCCUGCUGGACUGCAACUGACGUUGAGGCUCGAAGGCGUGGGGAGCAGACAGGAUUAGAUACCCGAGUA